rnacentral:lncRNA from 1 species
CUUGAACAGUAAGGGAGUUUCUUAUCCCGUAUAACAGGAUGGUCAGCAGAGGAGAGGGUCGAUUGAUUACAGAGUUCACCCGUGUCGUUGAGGACCCAGGUUCUUUCUAUUUCUUUGCUUCAACAAAUUUUGAAGAAAUUUACUUCAAAUUCUCUUUGCAUCCUUGGAGCUCAUUUAAUCCUCAGACUCAUGUCCAACUUGGGUUGGCAGGGAUCAGUUCCUUUCAUCUAAUAGCUCCACAAUGCUCUUGAACCCUGAAGUUCCCUACUGGAUUCUCAGCAUUUGCCUAGUGAAAAAGAGAAGAGAAAAAAAGCCUGGAAGAUUGCAUGAGAGGCCUUAUGGACCAAGCCUUGGGGUGGUGAGCAUCACUUCUGACACACAUUCCAUCGGCCAGAACUCAGACACAUGGUCACAGCUAACUGCAAUGAAGUCUGGGAAAUGUAGUCUAGCUAAGUGUGUCCAGGAAGGAGAAGGAAAUCCAUUUGGUGGACAUCUGGCUAGUCUCUGACAUGCAAUGGAUUGAGUGAAACAUUUCUAUCAUGUUAAAAUUUCGGGGCCAGCCUUGUGGCCAAGUGGUUGAGUUUGUGCACUCGGCUUCCGUGGCCCAGGGUUUGGGCAAUUCAGAUCCUCGGCGCAGACAUAGCACCACUCAUCAAGCCAUGCUGAGGCGUUGUCACACAUAGCACAACCAGAAGGACCUACAACUAGAAUGUACA